CCUACGGGAGGCAGCAGUGAGGAAUAUUGGUCAAUGGGCGGAAGACUGAACCAGCCAAGUAGCGUGCAGGAUGAAGGCCCUACGGGUCGUAAACCGCUUUUGCACGGGGAUAACACCCUCCACUUGUGGUGUUCUGCAGGUACCGUGCGAAUAAGGGCCGGCUAAUUCCGUGCCAGCAGCCGCGGUAAUACGGAAGGCCCGAGCGUUAUCCGGAUUUAUUGGGCUUAAAGGGAGCGUAGGCCGCAUGUCAAGUGAGCCGUAAAAUGACGUGGCGCAACCAUGGCCCUGCGGCGCGCACUGGCUUGCGUGAGUGCGCGGAACGUAUGCGGAAUGCGUGGUGUAGCGGUGAAAUGCUUAGAGAUCACGAAGAACUCGGAUUGCGAAGGCAGCAUACGGAAGCGCUACUGACGCUGAAGCUCGAAGGCGCGGGUAUCGAACAGGAUUAGAUACCCGUGUAGUC
rnacentral:rRNA from 1 species